AUACGGAGGGAGCGAGCGUUAAUCGGAAUUACUGGGCGUAAAGCGCGCGUAGGCGGCUUUGUAAGUCGGAUGUGAAAGCCCUGGGCUUAACCUGGGAAUUGCAUUCGAUACUGCUUGGCUAGAGUAUGGUAGAGGGUAGUGGAAUUCCUGGUGUAGCGGUGAAAUGCGUAGAUAUCAGGAGGAACAUCAGUGGCGAAGGCGGCUACCUGGACCAAUACUGACGCUGAGGUGCGAAAGCGUGGGGAGCAAACAGGAUUAGAAACCCCGGUAGUCC
rnacentral:rRNA from 1 species